rnacentral:hammerhead_ribozyme from 1 species
AUCCAUCUGACGAGUCCCAAGUAGGACGAAACUCGCGUCCUGGAU